CUUUUUAGCGCCAUCUGUCUCCUGGAGUCCUGGUCGCUCACUGUGCUUUACCAAAAAAAAACAAUUAAUUAGUUCAUAGGCUGGCGAGGAGUCUCCUCUGGUUUGGGGCCAAGAAGCCACCUGCCCCACUGGGCUCUGUCUUUUUCCUGGAACCCUUCCUGCUUCUUUGUUCAGCCUCCCACGGGACAGCGAACUUCAGUGGCAGCGCUGGUCUUGCUGACCCACCCUCCCGACUUGGACAGGGCCUGCCUGGCAUGGCAGGUGCUGUGAAGGAAGCCACAGGAUGGAAACCCUGAUGCUCUGCAGACAGAAACAGCUGCCGGGCUUGGGGACCUGGCUGGAUGUCUUCCCCCUGUGCCUCUGUUUCUCCAUCUGUAUAGUGGGAUGGCUGGCAGGGCCCAGGCCCCUCCCACCAUCCAUUCCAGGGCUGCUGCUCUCUGAAAAUACAUCCAAGAGCACAGGUACCUGGACGUGGUAUUCCUGGAUGGUUCUCAGCACGUGUUCCAGCAGGGCAAGAAGGGCCCAAUCCAAGAGACUGCAGCAGCCCUGGAAAGCCAGUGUUUACAGUGGAUAAGGACCACAAAAGAACAAGAAGGAACAUCCCUCCAGGUGGGCUGGUCUACCAGGCUUCAUGGGGAAGGGUCUCAGAGGUCCUGUUUGAGGCAACCUGGGCUGGGGGCAGGGGGAGGUACACCAGGGGAGGGAAAGGAAGAAGCCAUGGUGAAGGCUUUUCUGAUGGGUUUGGUGACUGGGGAUGAGGGGUGGGUGGCAGGUAGAGGAGCCAGGGUCCCUGGUAGGCAGGACAGGAGGUGCCCAGUCACAACUUUGGGGACCAUGGGGCUGGAGGAAAAGGAGGCAAAGAAGCAGUUGGGGCGGGAAGAAGCAGCUCAGCUAAGGCCCGGAGGGGUGCAGAGGCUCGGGGAGAGCCAGCCCUCUGAUGGCAGGCCCUACUGCAACAGGAGCCGUAUGAGUGCCACUGAGACUGGGAAGGGCAGAGAGUGAAGGAUGC
rnacentral:lncRNA from 1 species